rnacentral:rRNA from 1 species
UACGUAGGCAGCGAGCGUUGUUCGGAAUUACUGGGCGUAAAGAGUGUGUAGGCGGUGCUCUAAGUUCGGUGUGAAAUCUCCCGGCUUAACUGGGAGGGUGCGCCGGAAACUGGAGUGCUCGAGCGUGGGAGAGGAAAGCGGAAUUCCUGGUGUAGCGGUGAAAUGCGUAGAUAUCAGGAGGAACACCUGCGGUGUAGACGGCUUUCUGGACCAUUGCUGACGCUGAGACACGAAAGCGUGGGUAGCAAACGGG